AUUGAACGCUGGCGGCAGGCUUAACACAUGCAAGUCGAGCGAGUGGCGGACGGGUGAGUAAUGCCUGGGAAUCUGGCUGAUGGAGGGGGAUAACUACUGGAAACGGUAGCUAAUACCGCUUACCAUAGGAGGAGCCCAAGUGGGAUUAGGUAGUGGGUGUGGUAAAGGCUCACCAAGCCGACGAUCCCUAGCUGGUCUGAGAGGAUGACCAGCCACACUGGGACUGAGACACGGCCCAGACUCCUACGGGAGGCAGCAGUGGGGAAUAUUGCGCAAUGGGGGCAACCCUGAUGCAGCCAUGCCGCGUGUGUGAAGAAGGCCUUCGGGUUGUAAAGCUCUUUCAGUAGGGAGGCGUUAACUACAGAAGAAGCACCGGCUAACUCCGUGCCAGCAGCCGCGGUAAUAC
rnacentral:rRNA from 1 species